UUUUUUUUUCCCAAAGACACAGUCUCCCUCUGUUGCCCAGGCUGGAGUACAGUGGUGCAAUCUUGGCUCACCACAACCUCCACCUCCCAGGCUCAAGCGAUUCUCAUGCCUCAGCCUCCCAACCUAGCUGUGAUUACAGGCACAUGCCACCACGCCUGGCUAAUUUUUCUAUUUUUAGUAGGAAUGGGGUUUCACCAUGUUGGCCAGGCUGGUCUUGAACUCCGAGCCUCAAGUGAUCCACCCACCUCAGUCUCCCAAAGUGCUGGGAUUACAGGCAUGAGCCACUGCACCCAGCCCCUUAUAUUUAAAUCUUUAAUCUAUCUUGAGGUAAUUUUUAUAUAUGGUGAAAGAUAGGGGUCCAGUUUGAGUCUUCUGCAUAUGGCUAGACAGCUAUUCCAGCACCAUUUAUUGAAUUAGGGAAUCCUUUCUCUGUUGCUUAUUUUUGUUAACUUCGUCAAAGGUCAGAUGGCUGUAGGUGUGUAGCUUUAUUUCUGUCUGUUCCAUUCCAUUGGUCUAUGGGUCUGUUUUUAUAUCUGUACCAUGCUGUUUUGGUUACUGUAGCUUCCUUAUAGUAUAGUUUAACUCAGGUAAUGUGAUACCUCAGCUUUGUUUUAUUUGCUUAGGAUUGAUUUUUUGGUUCCAUAUGAAUUUUAGAAUGGAUUUUUCUUUUUUUUUUUUUUUGAGACGGAGUCUUGCUGUGUCUCCCAGGCUCUGAGUGCAGCGGUGCAAUCUCAGCUCACUGCAACCUCUGCCUCCUGAGUUCAAGCAAUUCUCCUGCCUCAGCCUCCCGAAUAGCUGGGAUUACAGGAGCCCGCCAACCAUGCCCAGCUAAUUUAUGUAAUUUUAGUAGAGAUGAGGUUUCAUCAUCUUAGCCAGGCUGGUCUUGAACUCCUGACCUUGUGAUCCACCCGCCUCAGCCUCCCAAAGUGCUGGGAUUACAGGCGUGAGCCACUGGACCCGGCAGGAUUUUUCUAAUUCUGUGAAAAAUGAUGUUUGUAGUUUGAUAGGAAUAGCAUUGAAUCUGUGGAUUGCUUUGGGCAGUAUGGCCAUUUUAAUGAUAUUGAUUCUUCUAGCUCAUGAGCUUGGAAUGUUUUUCCAUUUGUUUGUGUCAUCUCUGAUUUCUUUCAGCGUGUUUUGUAGUUCUUGUCCAGCUCACAUUUUAUCUUCAUACUUUGAGUAGCCUCCUUCCAUGAAUGGAUCAUCCAGUGGCCACACUUAGGUUCUCCUAUGAAGAUUUUUCUUGUAUUGUACCUCAGAACCAUCUCCAUAUUCUCUAAAUAAUAAUAAUGAUGGUCAUAAAUUGAAUAGAAGUCUUUACUAGAUGAGGAGGAAAACCCUAAAACAAAACAUGAACAUAAAAUAUUUUUAAAAGGAAGACAUACAAACAGACCCUAUAACAAAAUAAGAUGACAGAAUUAAGGCCUUAUGCCACAGCCAGAGUUGAAAAAUAAAAAGCAGAAAAAAAGUUUAAAAACAAGGAAUUAAAGCCAAACCUAACUUUUAUCAAAAUAAAUGUAAAAGUGAUGAAAGAAUCUAACUGUUAAGAUAUCAGAUUGUAAUAUAAAAGAUACUAGAAACAAAUGCCAAUACAACACUUAAGUACAUUUUAUAUAUUCAUCCAUUAGAAUAUAUAGCUGUCAGAAUGAUAGAAGAAUUACAUAUGUGUGCAGAAGUUUAUGUAUCCAUAUGGAAAACACAGGAAGCUAAUAGUACUGUUUUUCUCUGGAGUGGGUGUAAAGGUAGAGACUUAACUCUUUACAUCCUUAUGGCAGCCUUCGAAUACCUUUUAACUCCCAGUUCCCUUACCUGGGGGUGUGUAUCCUAGAAUCCUUGACCCAUUAGAAAGUAUAUUGUAGACAUCAUACUCUUUACCCUUUAAUACUACACAUGUACUUCAUAAGAACAAGCAUGCUGUCUUACCCAAGUACAGCUAUCAAGUUCAGAAAUUCAACAUUGCCAUAAUACUUUACAGUCCAUAUUUCAAUUUCAUUUGCUGUUUUAUUGGUAAUUUUUUUCAGCUCCAUGAUCCAGCAUAGGAUCAUAUGUUGUAUUGCCAUAACCUCUAAUCUGGAGUAGUUCCUCAGCUUUUCUUUGUUUUUUAUAAUAGUAAUAUAUUUGAAAAAUACAGGACAGCUAAAGGAUAGAGUAUCCUUCUAUUUGGGUUUUUCUGAUGUUUCCUCAUGGUUAGAUUCGGGUAGUGCAGUGAGGGUUGAAAUGCUGUAAGUGAUAUGUAUUGCAGGUAUACAUCCAGAUGCACAGAAUGUCCAUUUGCCCCUUAUUGGUGAUGCUAAUUUUGAUCACUUGGGUAAGAUGUCCAGUUUCUCCAGUGUAUUGUUAUUGUUUUUCCUUUUGCAAUUAGUGGGUAAUUCGUGAGGAGAAACUUUGAGACCUUGUUGACAAUUCUGUUCCUCAUCAAAUCUACCCCUCCUAGGUUUAGCAUCCUUUGACGAUUCUUGUCUGAAUAAAUUUUUACUAGGAUGUUUCCAAAAUUGUGAUUGUUCUAACUCCAUUAUUAUUUCUGUAUUAAUUAGUCGUCAUUCUACUGUAAGGAAGAGGUUUCCCUUUAUCAUCAACUUCGAGUAAGUACUUUUUUCUGAGCCAUUUGAAUAUUCCUUACUAGAUGUGGUGCCUCUUUACCCCAAUUACUUAAGUUUGUAUUUCCAAAGAACAAGGGUGUUUUCCUGCAUAGCCAUAGCACAAUUACCAAAAUCAGAAAAUUAACAUUAAUACUUUACUAUUAUCAAAUCUUUUUCAUAUUUUGCUAAUUGUUUCAGUAAUAUGCAAAAAAAAAAAAAAAAAGUCUGAUCUGGAUCCACUCUGGAGUAAUAUUACAUUUAGUUCUCAUGUCUGUAGUCUCCUCUAUUCUGGAGCAGUUCUUCAGCCAGUCUUUCAAAAUGCCAAGGUUAUGGGCCAGUUAUAUUUUUUUUUUAUUUCAACUUUUAUUUUAGACUCAGGGAGUAUAUGUGCAAGUUUGUUACAUGGGUAUAUUGCGUGAUGCUGCGGUUUGGGGCACCAUUGAUCCCGACACCCAGGUAGUGAGCAUAGUACCCAAUAGGUAGUUUUCCAACCCUUGCACCUUCCCUCCCUCCCUCGUCUAGUAGUCCUCAGUGUCUAUUGUUCCCAACCCAUAGACUUUUUAUAGAGUAACUCUUAAUCUGGGUUUUUCUGGUAUUUCUUGAUGAUUAGACUGAGCUUAUACAUUUUUGGCGGGGAUACCACAGAAAUGGCAUUGUUCUUUUCAGUGCACCGUAUCAUGGUGUCAUUUGUCCCAUUACAAGGAUGUUAAUUUUGAUCACUUGUAUUAGGUGAUAUCUGCUAUAUUACUCUACUAUAAAGUUUCUAAUUUUUUACGUUAAGUUAAUAAGCAUUUUGUGGGGAAAUACUUUCAGAUGAUAACUAUUUUGUUUCUCAACAAACUUUCACACACUCAUUUUAGCAUCCAGUGAUAUUUCUUGGUGGAAUUAAUUGUUACUCUGGUGUUGCCAAGUGGGGAUUCUUCCAAUUGUAUUAUUAUUUCUGUGUUUAUUCUGUGGCAUUCUACUAUAAGGAAAAUAUUCUACUAAAGCCUUGGAAUCAGCCAUUUCUCCAAAGAGCCUUAGUUUCUUUUAGUGGAGAAUGGUUUUUAGAAACCAUGAUCUGAGCCUCCUGGGUUGUCAUUGCUUUUAGGCCCCUUUGACAGAAAGAGCUAGGAAACAUAUAUUAGAAAUCACAAGUUUUACUGAUAUCUCCAGUUCCAGUCCAACCCUACAGGGUUCUUCCUUGCCUUUUCCUAUUCCUUACUUUUAUCUUCUUCCACAGUCAAAACCCUGGCACUCAGCAUUAUCAGUGUAUUUGUUCAUUCACAAAACUGUGAAUGUUUAAAGUGUUAGGUAUGUAUGCCUUUUGUAAUUAAAAAUAAUUUUAAGUUUAAAAAAAAACUCUGGGUAAGCCCACAGGAGUAUUACACAUGUGAAUGUCAUUCAUUAAUAUGUUAUUAUAGAAAACAGCUUGGGAAUUUCUGCGCGUGUACUGCUUCCUAGAUAAAUUAGGCAAAUGAGCAAAUGGUGCCACUUUUUCAAUUCAGACAGCAUUUAUUGGACUUCUACAUUGUUCUCAUCUCAGCCAGACUGCUGUUAUUGGUUCCACAGUUUUUGCUCAUAAGCAAGAACUUGAUACAGAACCCAUCAAAUUAAGGCCGGGUGCAGUGGCUCACGCCUGUAAUCCCAGCACUUUGGGAGGCUGAGGCGGGUGGAUCACCUGGGGUCAGGGGUUCAAGACCAGCCUGGCUAACAUGGUGAAACCCGGUCUCUACUAAAAAUACAAAAUUAGCUGGGUGUGGUGGCGCACACCUGUAAUCUCACCUAUCAGGAGACUGAGGCAGGAGAAUCGCUUGAACCCGGGAGGUGGAGGUUGCAAUGAGCCCAGAUAGCACCACUGCACUCCAGCCUGGGCAAUAGAGUGAGACUUUGUCUCAAAGAAAACAAAACAAAAACAUCAAAUUAAUGUGGAAGUGUAAAAAUAAGAUUGACAACAGGAACAAGGAAAAUAUUUUGAAAGAAUAGUAACUAAAGGGAGAAAAGCCAACUGUAGUGGCUUACGCCUGUAAUCCCAGCACUUUGGGAGGCUGAGGCGAGAGGAUCAUUUGAGCCCAAGAGUUGAAGACCAGUCUGGGCAAGAUGGUGAGACCCCAUCUCUACAGAAAAUUUAAAAAUUAGCUGGGUACAGUGGCAUGCGCCUGUUGUCCCAGCUAUUCUGAAGGUUGAGAUGGGAGGAGUUCCCUUGAGCCUAGGAAUUCAAGGUGGCAGUAAGCUGUGAUCAUGCCAUUCCACUCCAGCCUGGGUGACAAAGUGAGACCCCUUCUCUUUAGAAAAAAGAAGAAGAAGAAGAAGAAGAAGAAGGAGACCAAUUCAAAAGCAAUGAUUUUAGCAAAAAAAAAAGAAAGAAAGAAAAAAGAAACUAGACUAAGGCCCUGGGAGAAUGGAAGUCAAGGAACAGAUUUGAAAGACCUAAUAAUUAAAGAUUUGACAGGACUCAGUUACUAAAUGUGGGAGGAAUGAGAAGGCCUUGCCUGAAUCAUUGGGUCUCAUUUAGAUUGGUAAUAGUAGGUCUCUCCACCAGAUGGCAAUGAUGCUCUUUUCUUAGUUUUUAAUUUGCCAUGCUAAGAGAUUUGCAAUUACAGCAAUUUAAAGAUCAGAUAGAUAGACAAGUUUCUAACAACUGCCAGAGAAACUUGCUAAACAACAGUAAAAAGCCUGAAAGAAAAUAGGUAUAUAAACACACUUGUGCAUAUACAUAUGGAAAUAUAUAUAUAAUUUUAAAACAUGAGUAUGAUUAAACUAUCAAGAGGUAAUGAUUAUCUUCUGAGGCUAGAAAAAAGGGAAAGUACAAAUUCAAAAAAAGUGCUAAUGCUUGCCCUAGGAAUAUCCGCUAUUCCCUCAGGGUCUAAAGCCUAUGCUUUAAAGGGUAUUGUAUGCGUGGAAGACAGAGCCCAGGACUUGAGCAAGUUGAGGAGGUUAGAUCAGAGAUAUGUGCCCAAAGCAUGGAGCCCUGAAAAGCAGCAGUUUCAGUGUGUUUACUAGAAUAUCCCCUCACAUAUGCUGAGAAAGACAGUGAGAAUACUUUUGUAUCUUGGCCUUAGCCCUGGGAAGAGUGGGAAAGAAAAAAAUUGGAAACCUCUCCAAAAACUUAAGCACAAAGAUCCAAUGAUAGAAAAUAUGACAAAUAGGCCAGGCAUGGUGUUUCAUGCCAGUAAUCCUAGCACUUUAGGAAGCCCAAGCAGGAGGAUUGUUUCAGCCCAGGAGUUCAAGACCAGCCUGGGCAACAUGAGACCCUGUCUCUGCAAAAAAAAUUUUUUAAUUAGCCAGAUGUAGUGGUGUGCACCUGUAGUCCCAGCUACUCAGGAGGCUAAGAUGAGAGGAUUGCUUGAGCUCAAGAUGUUGAGGCUGCAGUGAGCCAUGGUCACACCACAGCACUCCAGCCUGGGCAACAGAGUAAGACCCUGCCUCAAAAAAAAAAAAGCCAAGCGCAGUGGCUCGUGCCUAUGGUGGCACACACCUGUAGUUCCAGCUACUCGGGCGGCUGAGGUGGGAGGAUCACUUGUGCCCAGGAGGUGGAGGUUGCAGUGAGCCAUGAUCAUCACACCACUGCACUGCAGCCUGGGCAACAGAGUCAGACUCUGUCUCAAAAAAUAGAUAUAUUGAGUUAAGAUAGCUCAUAACAGUCUCUUUGUGAUCUUUGUUGCAUCUAUAUUUGAAAAAAUAGAAGAAAUGGAUAGUUUCCUUGAAAAAACAAUAAUUGAAACACCAGAAUGAAGUGGUUUUAUAGGCAAGUUAUACCAAAAUUCUAAUAACAGCUAAUUCCAAACUUGCACAACUUUUUCAAACAAUGAAAAAAUGAGAAUACUUAAAAGGCUAAUUACCAAAACCAAGCAAGUAUUAUAAAGAAAGGAAAAUGACAGGCCGGGCGCAGUGGCUCAUGCCUGUAAUCCCAGCAUUUUGGGAGGCCAAGGCAGGUGGAUCACCUGAGAUCAGGAGUUCGAGACCAGCCUGGCCAACAAGGCAAAACCCCAUCUCUACUAAAAAUAUAAAAUUUAGCUGGGUGUGGUGGCACGCGCCUGUAAUCCCAGCUACUUGGGAGGAUGAGGCAGGAGAAUUGCUUGAACUCGGUAGCGGAGGUUGUAGUGAGCCAGGAUUGCACCACUUAACUCCAUCCUUGGCGGAAGAGUGAAAUUUCGUCUCAAAAAAAAAAAAAAAAUGACAGGUAAUUAUCACUCAUGAGCAAAGACAUUAGAAAAAAAAAUGAAAUAGAAAUUGAGACAUGAACAAUAGAAGGAAAAGGUCUGAUAUAUACCCAAAGUUCCAGAAGAACUUAUUCUCUCUACGUUUAUAUAUAUUUAAAAUUUUUCUUUUUCUUUUUUGAGAUGGAAUCUUGCUCUGUCACACAGGCUGGAGUGCAGGGGUGCGAUCUCGGCUCACUGCAACCUCUGCCUCGCGGGUUCAAGCUGUUCUCCUGCCUCAGCCUCCCAAGUAGCUGGGACUACAGGUGCCUGCCACCAUGCCCAGCUAAUCUUUGUAGUUUUAGUAGAGACGGGGUUUCACCAUAUUGGCCAGGCUGGUCUUGAACUCCUGACCUUGUGAUCCACCCUUCUCGGCCUCCCAAAGUGUUGGGAUUACAGGCAUGAGCCACCACGCCCGGCCUAAAAUUUUUCGUAACACACCUGCUCUACCACAUGUCAAAGCAUAUUUUAAAGCUGAAAUAUUGAGACGAUAUUCAACACAAAAACAGACCAGGAGUAGAUAACUACAUAUAUGUAAAAGUGAUAUAUGACAGGUAGUAUUGUAGAUCACUAGGGAAAUUCGUCAGUAAAUUCAAACUGGAUUCCUAUCUCUUAACCAUACGUGCACACACACAAAAAAAUCAAACCCAGGACUUAGAUGUAAAAGACAAAACCUUUAGAGAACAAAUAUGAAUGAGGUUCCAUGUUUCAAAAUUAAUUUUUUUGUGGUUUUCAACUUUGUUUUUGCUUCCUCUUCAUUCACUUGAAAAACCAACUUCCUUCAGUAAUACUCAUUCAACAUCAUUUUUGAUGAGAUUAAUAUUUGCCAGACACUUUGAAACACCAAGGAUACAGUAGUGAGCAAGACAAGCUCUCUUCCCUCACAGAGCUUACACUGAGGUGGUGACUAUGCAAAGGUACAUAGUAACCAAGUAAACAAGAUGUUUACAGAGUGUGAAAAGUGACAGUGAGUGAGGAGUGUGGUCAGAGUAGGCCUCUCUAAAGCAGAGACAUUAGAGUUGACACUUAAAAGAUCAGACAGAAUUGAGCAUUUCAAGAGGGAAGGGUGUGCAUAAGAACAGAGGGAGAAAUGUCUUUAUGGGGAGAUGUGAAGUGUGUGUUGUGUGCCUUGAAAACUUCCUUGGGUCUUGUAAUACCCACUGCAUUUUUCAAGUCCUUUCUUACUGCCUGCUCCCACCUCUGCUGAGAUAACUGAUAUAGCCUACUUCAUAUUAUUGUUUUUUACUGUCACCAAAUCUGUCAAUCAUAUGUUUAAUAUUUUCUGCAAUUUUUAUAUAUAAAUUAGCAUGAAAGUUUUAACAUAAAAGCUUAGGAGCAAGCACAAACCUAUCUGUGCCAAAAGAGGGCAAAACAAAAUAAAAGUUCCUAAGAGAAGAUAAGCUACACAAAGUCAUAGUUUCGGCUUCGGCGUUUUGGAAAGUAUACAAGAAUACCCUUCUAGAAAGUCAGCAGGCAAAGUAAUGAAUGAGUAUUGGGGAGCAUAGCACUUGCUUUGGUGUAGGCAUGUGGCCAGCCUGUACCGUAGACCAUGUACUGACCAUUCACUGGUCAUGUACCGUGGACCAUGUACAGCAGCAGGAAUUUGCCUUCUAAACUCAAUCUUAAUUACCCCCAGCUCUCAGGAAUGGGUCAGAGAAAACAUGUCUAUAGGAUGAAAUGAGUAUCUUCAGCUGAUCCAAGCUGUAAGGUGUGGCGGAGAACACAUGAAUUUUACCAGGACAUGAUCUAGGCAAGCCAAAUACAGAUAAACUUGGUCAGGUUCAGAUUUAAAAAAUGAAAAAGGAUAAUGGCAGCAAGCAUGUUGGUGAUGAUAGCCCCCAGUGUACCUGUCUCUUAAGAUUCACUCUAGUAUGAACUGAUUAUAUCUACACCUGGUGCAGCUGUCACCUUUGGAUUUCCCUAAACCUCUCUUCCGUGUUGAAUGUCCUGUUUCUUUAUCACUAUGUCUUUCUUUUUCUUAGUUUCCUUAGGUUUGUUUCUUUUUCUUAGUUUCCUUAGGUUUGUUUUGAGGCAGGGUCUUCUCUGUUGCCCAGGCUGGAGUGCAGUGGUGCAAUCACAGCUCACUGCAGGCUUGACUUCCCUGGGCUCAAGCAUUCCUCCUGCCUCGGCCUCCCAAGUAGCUGGAACAACAGACAUGCGCCACCACACUCGAGUAAUUUUUUUUUAUUUUUUGGUAGAGACAGGGUCUCGCUAUGUUGCCCAGUACAGUCUUGAACUCCUGGGCUCAAGUGAUCCUCCCACCUCAGCUUCCCAAACACUCCAUUGUUUUCCUGGAGCACAUCCUCCAGUAAAUUCCUGAUCAAGGAUACAUGGAAGGUAAAAUUUUGAGACCUUGGAUUUCUAGAAUUUGUCUUUAUUCUACUCUCAUGUUUAAUCGAUAGUUUGGUAAGUUAUCAAAUUCAAAAUAAAAAGCACUUGCCUUCAGAAUGUUGAAGGCAUUGCUCUAUUAUCUUUUAGAUCCCAGUGUCGCUGUUGAAAGAAGCCAUUGUGAUUUCAGAUCCUUUAUUGCUCCCACCCCCCUGGAAACUUGUAGCAUCUUUCAUUCAUCCUCAGUAUUUCAUGAUGACUUGCUUUAGGGUAAGUCUAUUUUCAUCCAAUAUACUGAAUACUCAAUAGGCCCUUUUAGUCUAGACACCAAUGUCCUUUAAGAAAAUUUUCUUAAAGUAGUAUGUGACUAUUUUCUCCCCUUCAAAUUUUCUGUUCUCUUUCCAAAACUCCUUUUAUUCAGAUGUCACACAAGUUUUCAUCUUUUCCCUACCACUCCCCUUGUGUGCAUGUGUGUUUGCAGUUUCCUCUACUUUAUAGGAGAUUUCCUCACUUUAUCUUGUCACAUGUCUGUAGUGUUUCAUUUCUUCUAUCUUGUGUAUUUAUAAUGUCUAAGGUUUUGCUGUUAUUAUUCUAUGAUUUUUUAGAGUAUUCUUGUUCCAUGGGUAUACUAGCUUCUCUUCUGCCUAUGAGUAUAUUAACAGUUUUUUUUUUAAUUGAGCUGUAUGGCCCAGCAUGUGAUUUAUCUUGGUGAAUGUUCCAUAUGCUUGAAAAAAAUACAACAAUCUUGCUCUUGUUGGAUCAGUGUUCUAGAAAUGUCAAUAGGUCAAAUUGGUUAAUGCUGUUUUACGGAUUUUUUUCCACUUGUUCUAUCAAUUACUAAGACAGACGGAUUAAGUCUUCAACUAUAGUAGAUUUUUCUGUUUCUCCUUGCAGUUCUUUCAGUUUUCAUUUCAUGUAUUUUGAGGGUCUUUUUAAAAAUGCGUACACAUUUAAGAUUUUUAUGCCCUCUUUAUGAAUUAAUCCUUUAUCAUUAUUAAAUAUCCCUUAUUAUCCCUGGUAAUAUUUUUUGUACUGAAGUCUACUUUGUCUGAUAGUAAUAUAACCAUUCUGGCUUUCUUAUAAUUAGCGUUUUUAUGACACAUAUUUUUACAUGAUUUUACUUUUUAUCUAUGCCUUUAUGAUUAAAGUGGGUUUCUUGUAUACAGCAUAUAUUUGGGUAUUAUUUUUUAUCCAGUCUGACUUUUAGAAAAAAUUCAGCCUGUCUAUGAAGUGUUUAGAUUAUUUUCAUUUAGUGUAACUAUUCAACGGUUAGGUUGAAAUCUAAUAACUUGCUGCUUGUUCAUUUGUCCUACCUGUUGUUUGUGCCUGUUUUCCUCUUUUUGUGCUUUCUUUUGGGUUGAGUGCUUUUUUUUUUUUUUUUUUUUUAGAUGGCGCGUCAGUCUGUUGCCCAGGCUGGAGUGCAGUGGCAUGAUCUCAGCUCACUGUGAACUCCGCCUCCUGGGUUCAAGUGAUUCUUCUGUGUCAGCCUCCCAAGUAGCUGGGAUUACAGGCAUGUGCCACCACGCCCAGCUAUUUUUUUUUUUUUUGUAUUUUUAGUAAAGAUGGGGUUUCACCAUGUUGGCCAGGCUGGUCUCGAACUCCUGACCUCGUGAUCCGCCUGCUUCUGCCUCCCAAAGUGCUGAGAUUACAGGCGUGAGCCACCACGCCCAGCCUAAUGUUUUUCUUGACUCAGUAAGAUUAACAACAUCUGCUUGGGUAUGGAAUGUGUCUUCAGGACUCACCCCUCUCAGGAGUCACAGUCCUGUGCAGCCUGCUAUUCAGUAUCAGAAAAUACUUUCCAAAUAUCCCAGUUUUCUAGCUGCUUAGGGCAGGAAGGUAAAUCUGGUCCCUCACAGUCAGUCAUGGCCAUAAGUGGAAAUCGAUUAUAGUUUUUUAAAGUUUUCAUCUUCCUGUAGAGUCUCUAUUACUCCAAGUUGCUGUGUUCUGUUUGUUUAGCUCUCUGUUUGUUGUUAGAGGUUUUCCUCAGAUAUCUGGUCAUUUCUUGUUGUCUGCUCUUUCUUUUCUUUUUUUCUUUGUUUUUCAGGUCUUACUCUCUCACCCAGGCUGGAGUGCAGUGGCACACUCAUGGCUCACUGCAGCCUCAACUUCCCCAUCUCAGGUGAUCCUCCCACCUCAGCCUCCCAAGUAGCUGGGAUUACAGGUGCAUGCCACCACAUCCAGCUAAUUUUUGUAUUUUUGUAGAGAUGGGAUUUCACCAUGUUGCCCAGGCUGGUCUCAAACUCCUGGGCUCGAGCAGUCUGCCCACCUUGGCCUCCCAAAGUGCUGGGAUUACAAGCGUGAGCCACUGCACCUGACAUCUUGCUCACUCUUAAUAGAGUGGGAGGACCAUUGGGUUGUUUGAAAACUGCUUGUAUUGGUGGUCCAGUUGACCAUGAGUUUAAUGUAAGGCAGAGUUUAUCAACAGUGACACUAAUGACACUAAUGAUAUUUUGGACUGGAUAAUUCUUUGUUGUGGGAGGCUGUUGUGCAUUAUAGGAUGUAUAGCAGCAUCCUUGGCCUCUAUCAACUAGAUGCCAGCAGCACACCUCCACCUCCCACCCCCAGUUUUGUGGCAAACAAAAAUGUCUUCGGGCCGGGUGCAGUGGCUCACGCCUGUAAUCCCAAGAAUUUGGGAGGCCGAGGCAGGUGGAUCACCUGAGAUCAGGAGUUCGAGACCUGCCAGGCCCACAUGGUAAAAACCCAUCUCUACUAAAAAUACAAAAAUUAGGUGUGGUGGCACGCACCUAUAGUCCCAGGUACUCAGGAGGCUGAGGCAGGAGAAUUGCUUGAACCUGGGAGGCAGAGGUUACAGUGAGCCGAGAUCGUGCCACUGCACUCUAGCCUGGGCGACAAAGUGAGAUUCCUUCUCAAAAAAAAAAAAGUCUCCAGACAUUGCCAUAUUCCAGUUGAGAAACACUAAUAUAAGAGUGUCUAUCUAGGAUGUUUGUGAGGAGACUCUUGAAGUCGUUGUGUUUAGGUGUUUCAUAUUGAGAUAGUCAUAUUCUCCAGAAAAUAGCCCUGUCAUUUACCUUGCCUGAAGGAUAAAGUGCAGGAAGAGAGCAGGGAGCCCGAGUAGUCAAUACACAUACCUUCACUUAUUCUCCCUACUUUAAGUACUUCAUGCCCGCCCUCAACUGUGCCUGGUGUUCCUUCACCUAGAAACCAUCUUUUUUCCCCUCUCUGGAACCUAAACCUGUAGACAUUGGCCAAAGUGUGGGAGGAGCAAUCAACCAGUGAUAUAAAGUGGGGGAAAGGAGAAAUCCAGGAAUUCACCUGACUCUCAAACAACCUUCAUUCAACCAGUCUUCCUUAAUCCAACAUCCCAGUUUACGCCACUUCUAGAGAUCUCAUCAACUCUUGAGCAUUUUGACAAUUCUGGAGUGCAUAUUGAAUUUGUUCUUGUAUUUACUUAAUGUCCAUUUACAACUUGGUUUUUCAAGCCUGCAACCCUCCAAAAUUUGGCUCCUUUGAUAUCUUUUUUCACAUCGUUGUCCUUAGAGUUUAUGCUAGCCCCACACCCCCCCACAAGCAUUUUAUAUAGUUUUAGUGGGAACCCUUGGGAAGGAUAAAAAUUAAAUGUGUUUUGGCCGAGUGCUGUGGUUCACGCCUGUAAUCCCAACACUUUGGGAGGCUGAAGCAGGCAGAUCACUUUAGGUCAGGAGUUUGAGACCAGCCUGGCCAACAUGGCGAAACCCCAUCUCUACUAAAAAUACAAAAUUAACGGGACAUGAUGUUUCACGCCUGUAGUCCCAGCUACUCGGGAGGUGGAGGCAAGAGAAUUGCUUGAACCUUGGAGACAAAGGUUACAGUGAGCUGAAAUCAUGCCACUGCACUCCAGCCUGAGCAACAGAAAGAGACUCUGUCUCAAAAAAAUAAAAAAAAAAAAAUAGGCCAGACACUGGCUCACGCAUGUAGUCCCAGCACUUUGGGAGGCUGAAGUGGGCAGAUCACUUGAGGUCAGGAGUUUGAAACAAGUGUGACCAACAUGGUGAAACCCCAUCUCUACUAAAAAUACAUAAAUUAGCCGGGUGUGGUGGCACACGCCUGUAAUCCCAGCUACUCAGGAGGCUGAGGCAGGAGAAUCACUUGAACCCAGGAGGCAGAGGUUUCAGUGAGCCGAGAUCACACCACUGCACUCCAGCCUGGGCAACAGAGUGAGAGUCUGUCUCAAAUAAAUUAAUUAAUUAAUUUAAUUAAAUUAAAAUAAAGGGUGUAGGCAUGUAUCAGUUCUAAAAAAAAAAAAAGUCUAUUUCAUUCUCUUUUUCCAGAAGUGUCAAUUUCAUAUGCUUUUGAGACUUUUGUCACAUUUCCAGUGGUUGCCAGACAUUGACUGUUACUUUGGAAUGUAGGGUGUCAGGUGGAAGGUGAUAGAUAUAACCUUCCUUCAUUUUCUUCCCAUCCUUCCUAAUGUGUGGCCUAUAGAUAAUAUUGCAAUUAGACUUUGACACAGAAAGGAGACACUCUAAUUAGUAGAAGAAGUAGUGGGGACAAAAACAAGCAAAGGCAUGGAGGUGGGAAUAGAGAGUGAGAUAUAACAGAGGAUAUAGGACAUUAACCUGAUUGAAGUUGAAGUUCAUGUUGAAGGGUCAUGGGAGAUAUGAAUAUAAUAAAUAGAUUAGGUGGGACCAGAUUACAACACCUAAAAUACUGGAUCGAAUAACUCAGAUUGGAUCUGGGAAAUAAUAGGAAAGUACUAUGGACUUUUUUUGUUGUUGUUUGUUUUUUCAGAUGGAGUCUUGCUCUGUUGCCAGGCUGGAGCGCAGUGGCAUGAUCUCAGCUCACUGCAACUUCCACCUCCCGGGUUCAAGCAAUUCUCCUGCCUCAGCCUCCUGAGUAUCUGGGACUACAGGCACACGCCACCAGCUAAUUUUUGUAUUUUUAGAAGAGACGGAGUUUCACCAUGUUAGCCAGGAUAGUCUCAAUCUCUUGACCUCGUGAUCCACACACCCUGGCCUCCCAAAGUGCUGGGAUUACAGGCAUGAGCCGCUGUGCCCAGCUGGACUUUUCAUCUGAGAAAUAAUCUGAUGAAAGUAGGUUUAAUCUAAUAGCUCUGACAACAGAUGGACAAGAAUAGGGAGAGAGUAGAGUCAAAGCAAUUUUAUAGGAGACUGUGGGUGAAAUCCAGAUAGGAGUGAUAAGGUACUAGGCCAUAGUGGACGAGGUGGGCAUGGAAAGGACAGAUCAAAAAGUCAUGGAUGGCAGGCGGAGUGUUUUGGGCCUAUAAUCCCAGCACUUUGGGAUGCUGAGGCAGGAGGAUUGCUUGAGCCCAGGAGUUUGAGGCCAGCCUGGGCUACAUGGGGAGACUCCAUUUAUACAAAAAAUUAAAAAAUUAGCCCAGCAUGGUGGCACGCUCCUGUGGUCCCAGCUACCCAGGAGGCUGAGGUGAGAGGAUUGCUUGAGCACAGGAGGUUAAGGCUGCAGUGAGCCAUGAUUGCACCAUUGCACUCCAGCCUGGGUGACAGUGCAUGACCCUGUCUCAAGGAAAAAAAAGAAAAAGAAAAAGUCAUUGAUAGCCAGGCCUGGUGGCUCAUGCCUGCAAUUCCAGCACUUUAGGAAGCCAAGGUAGGAGGAUCACUUGAGCCCAAGAAUUCAAGACCAGCCUGGGCAACAUAGUGAAACCUAAUCUUUGUUUUUUUGUUUGUUUGUUUUAAAGGCAUUGACAAGGAAAUUUUUAUUGGAUUUGUUACCUCCAGCCAAUAUAGAAGUUAAAUAGAUGUCAGCCAAGCCUAUGGAAGCUUGUGUUGGAUGACAAAUCUAAACAUGAAAUAAAAUGUUUCAUGGCUUGUUUCUGUGGCAACUAACCAAUGUUAGAUGUGGCAAGAAUUGUGCCCAGUAGAGCAUCACAUGAUUCUUUAGUGCAUAUUGGAAAGUCAGUUAUUCAUUAGAGAGGCCCACUCAAGGCAACUCAAGAAAAGGGAAAGAGAAGCUUUUGUAAAUCCACAGAGUGAUCUUUCUGGAAUGUAAGGAUUCCUGAAUAGGAACAACUGGCCCUCUUGGAUUAUAGAACUGGAAACUAUCAGGGGAACCAGCCCCCAAUGUUUCAGUGUAGGUUCUUUUCUAUUUUCCCUAAGUGUCAGCCAGUGUGAGAAAUAAAGAGAAAGAGUACAAAGAGAGAAAUUUUACAGCUGGGCCUCCGGGAGUGCCAUCACAUAUUGGUAGGACCGUGAUGGUGACCUUGAGCCGCAAAACCAGCAAGUUUUUAUUAGGGGUUUUAGAAGGGGAGAGAGUGUACGAAUAGGGAGUGUGUCACAGAGAUCACAUGCUUCAAAAGGCAAUAAAAGAUCACAAGGCAAAUGGCAGAGCAAGCUCACAAGGACAGGGCGAAAUUAGAAUUACUGAUGAGGUUCCAUGUCCUGCUGGGCACGCAUUGUCAUUGAUAAACAUCUUAACAGGAAACAGGGUUCAAGAGCAGACAGCCAGUCUGACUAGAAUUCGCCAGGCUGGAAUUUCCUAAUCCUAGCAAGCCUGAGGGCACUGCAGGAGACCGGGGUGUAUUUCAUCCCUUAUCUUCAACUGCAUAAGACAGACACUCCCGGAGCGGCUAUUUUAGAGACCUCCCGCUGGGAAUGCAUUCCUUUCCCAGGGUUAUUCCUUGCUGGGAAAAGAAUUCAGUGAUAUUUCUCCUAUUGGCUUUCUGCAGGAAGAGAAAUAUGACUCUGUUCUGCCUGGCCUCACAGGCAGUCAGACCUUAUGGUUAUCUCCGUUGUUCCCUGAAAAUCACUGUUAUCCUGUUCUUUUCUAAGAUGCCCAGAUUUCAUAUUAUUCAAACAUAUGUGUUUUACAAACAAUUUGUGCAGUUAAUGCAAUCAUCAGAGGGUCCUGAGGCGACAUACAUCCUCAGCUUACAAAGAUGACGGGAUUAAGAGAUUAAAGUAAAGACAGGCAUAGGAAAUUAUAAGAGUAUUGAUUGGGGAAGUGAUAAAUGUCCAUGAAAUCUUCACAGUUUAUGUUCAGAGAUUGCAGUAAAGACAGGCAUAAGAAAUUAUAAAAGUAUUAAUUUGGAGAACUAAUAAAUGUCCAUGAAAUCUUCACAAUUUAUGUUCUGCUGUGGCUUCAGCUGGUCCCUCCGUUUGGGGUCCCUGACUUCCCGCAACAGGAAACACUUUCAUAAUAUUGCUUGUGCUUUUUCAUUGAACACAUCUUGUACAAGGCCCCCUAGAGGCUAUUCCAGGCCUUGAGGCCACAUGACCCUUCUGGCUGCCUCUCUGCCUGCAUUUUCCCUCUUGCUUUCAGUUCAGAUGACUGAAAGAGAACUAGGGCCCAGCUCCACUUUUCAAGACAGGGUGCAAGUUACACAUAACUGAGUGGCCAACUACGGCAGGGGAUAGGUUGUGGGGAGCGGUGGGGUGGGGGGCUUACAAAGCAAUGUUUAUUCAGCAGGGACCAUGCAUAUGGCAGGAAAAUGUACCUACCCAGCCCCAAAUGAAACAUUUGCUUAGUUAGAAAGGAAACUGGAACUUUUUGGUGUACAACUUUAACUUUUGAAAUUGGUAUCAGGUACAGAAUCCCCAUGUUACCUCACAAAGCCACAGUCCAGGUGAAAGUGUGAAAAGACUGUGGGAUUGGCUUACUGUGGUUAUUCCUGUGGUUUAUACCUCAAACUAACAAUUCUCCCUGAAUCCCACAUCAAGUGUGCUGCCUGCUGAGUCAUCUGGCCUCUUUGACAGCACCCAUCAGUCUUUAUAAAGGCUUAAAGAAAGGGGCUGGGCGCGGUGGCUCACACCUGUAAUCCCAGCACUCUGGGAGGCCAGGGUGGGUGGAUCACGAGGUCAGGAGAUUGAGACCAUCCUGGGUAACACGGUGAAACCCCGUCUUUACUAAAAAUACAAAAAAAUUAGCAGGGUGUGGUGGCAGGCGCCUGUAGUCCCAGCUACUCAGGAGGCUGAGGCAGGAGAAUGGCGUGAACACGGGAGGCAGAGCUUGCAGUGAGCCGAGAUUGCGCCACUGCACUCCAGCCUGGGAGACAGAGCAAGACUCUGUCUCAAAAAAAAAAAAAAAAAGGGUGCAGUUUGCAGGCCAGUGGACUAAUGCACCCUCACCAUAUAGCCCCACAGAAAUUGGUCUGCCAUGGAGCUCUAAAGAACUCAUAAUUUCUCCAAAAGGACCAUCUUUCUACACCUAUGCAAUUGUUCAAGAUCAAGGGUCAGCAAACUGUGGUCCACAGGCCAGUUGCAUAUUUAUGCACAUAAAGUUUUAUUGGAACAUAGCCAUAGCCAUUUAUUCACAUAGUGUGUAUGGCUGCUUUUGUGUACAAUGGCAGAGUUGCAAAGCCUAAAAUAUUUACUGCUUGGCCCUUCAAGAAAAAGUUUCCUGACCCCUGUUUUAGUUAGUUCUGGAAUGAUGAGCAUGUGUGGAAAAUCCUCGGGUUGAUGCAGAAGCUUAGUGGCUGCACAGUAGUGAUACAUUGUUUUCCCAGGCUAUUUUAUUGUUUCUUAAUUUCUUAAUCACUUUGUGGAUUAAAUUCAUGGCCAGAAGUAACUCAGACAUCUCUAAGGAUUGUCCUAUUGGCAUAAACUAAAGCACGUAUUAUUCUACAUUCAUAGAUUAAAAUAUUAAGUAAUUUGAUCUAGAUGAUUGUUUACAGUUUAACGCAAAUGCACUCAGUCUGUUCUGAUUAUUUACUCAAGGAUUAUAUUACUACAUUCUCUCAAGAAUAAUAGUAUGUAAUCAUUUCCUGUGGGAUCUGCAAUGUUUGGGCCUUCCUUCAAAUUCAGUUCUCUGAUUUGUUUCCAUGACAUGGAGUUGGCCUUUAGGUUAUGUGAUUGAGGUUCCUCAAACAGGAUGUUAAUUUUCCACUCUUCGUGGCAGGAGAAAUAUAGUCUAAUCUCACGAUUUAGUGAGCCAAAGAGCUGUAUCUCUUUUCACACUAUCCUUCUUUUAUAAAAUAAAUGUUAAUUUUGUUUCUUUGUGCAUCUUUUGGAACAAACUUGUAUUUUCAAAGUGCUCACCCCAUACUCAGGUGAGCAUACUUUCUAAGGCAGCCCAUUUGGAACAAAUGAGCUUUAGCCAAGAGUUUAAUGAUAAAAAUAUAUUGCUUGCAAAAGCUCUAAUUUAGCACUCUGGUGCCUCCCACAUGGUUUUGCCAACAAACUCAUCUUUGCCUGAAAUAUAGGCUCUUCGAAGGCAGCUGCCACUCUCUCUUCAAGAUGCGAGGGGGAAGAGAGCUUGAGGCUUUUCAUUGUGAAGGACCCUCCACCCCCGUGUUCCUCCUACAGGCUCCUGAUUCACACAGCACAAGUUGAGAAACAGGGAAAUGGAAUCUUCUUGCCCAGGCAUGCAGCAGCUAAGUCCUUUGAAUCAGAGAAAUGUGUGUUCAUAAUCACCAAGUUUGAAAUGCAGAGCCAUCACUGCUGCUGGAAAUCUGAGGCUGGUUCAGAGCCAGGCCAGCUGCUCCUGGGGCCCUCUUCUACUUAAGAGGCAGUCUAGUCUGUGGCCUAGCCUGUUCAAGGUUGCUUUUUCCCCAGAGCCCUGGUACUCCCUCUGUCAAGUUUCCACUUAUCUUUCUGGCCUAUCCAGGAACCCUUCUCUGAGUUCUCAAGGACUGGCUAGGUGUCCUGCCUCACAGUCACCUACAACCUGCAUUUUCCUCAUCAUAACUUUGAAAUUGCUACUUUGCCUAUCUUCGCAUGGGCUCUUCCUCCAACUACACUGUGAGAGCCUUAAAUCCAGAAACCAUGUCUUUUUUUUUUUUUCAAAGAGACUCUUAGAUGAAUUUGCCAGGACUAAAAUACAGAGUUCCUUGUUCCCUGUAUAUAGCCCACUAUAGAAAUCCAAUGGUUUUUGAAUGAAAGGAUAAAUGAGUGAAUGAAGGGACUUCGGAUCUGGCUGGGGCAGAGACUGUGGAGCUAGAAACUUAGGUUGCUUUCCCUUUCUUCCCUUCCCAUCCCUCCUCUUCCAAAACCCAAGUCUGACAGGCUGUGAAGCACCUCUAUAUACGACUGAUGGAGCUUUAAUUGUUCACCCAAUCUUUAGAAAAGAUCCUUUUAAUUCAGCACUGUGCCCGAAGUCCAGGCACUUAGCUCUGGAUGCCCGACUGCAGAAAAUACCAACAGCCAGUAGAAAAACUGCACCAAUGCUGGGGGUCCUAUUUUAAUUAUUCUAGAAAAAUUCACUUUUUGCUCAGUGUUUGGUUUCAUUUGGGGCUGACCUCCUUUCUUGCAGGCCCUAGAUUCGUGAAAUCUAUAUUAAUCAGCAGAAUAAUAUUAGCCAAUUCCUUACCUCGUUUUUCCUUCCCCUCAUUUGGACAGCUAGCCUGGUUUGUACUCCUUAUCUCAGAGGUGAGAUGUGAUAGUAAGAGGCAGACAAAUAAAAGUAUGUUCCUGGCUUUUGGAUUCAGAAGUUGCCCUUAUGGGAAGGAAAAAACAAACAAAUGUGGCAUAGAUAAAAUAUUUGGAAGAAAAGAUAACAAGAGUAGAAAAGAGUUUCUUAGGGGGAGGAAGUGAAUUCGUGGGAAGGUACAGAGGGCAGAGAUGUUUCUGGAUCCUGUGUGCUACUUCACCCUGGGAAGGUGACACAAUUGCAGAUGUUUUUGUGAGACUUGGGAGCAGAAAAGACACGUUCUUUGCAUCCUCAGUGAAGCCCCAGAGAAGAAAUGGGUGCAUAAUGGGUCCCCACUGAAGAGAACGUAGGCAGAUGUGCAAAGUUUUCCAUGCCCCAGUGAGAAAGAAGCAUGUCUCUUCAUGCCCAAGAGCACAUCAGAGAAAUGGAGAGUGCUCCUGAAUCCAAAAGGGUCACACAGUCAAGAGUGAAGAAUGUCUCAAUAAAUACCAGUGUGGAAGAAUGAUCUUAAGGACCACAUCCUUCACUCUCUCUCCUUCCCCCCUCCCUUUCUGCACAUCUUGCAUCUCAGAAGCCCCCUCCCAGAAACUAGAUACAACUCCAGGGGAAGGUGAGGUUGAAAUCCACAAGUUCACUGAGAUAAAGUUUCUGACAAUGCAAAGAAAGGGAGGCUUGAAAUCAAAAUUAGUUUCUAUUUCUUACAUAAAUGUCUGGACUAGAAUUGUGUCCACUGCUCAGAUCUUACUUAUAUUCAGGGAUGACAUAUCUCAUGGAAGAACAGGGCUCAACUAGCCACUUAAAUGUCUUCCUAACAAAUGUUAAGGUUCUAGAAACCAAAUGGUGGGUAUAUUAUCCAACAUAUGCCGUGAAAGCAGAGCCAAUCCUGGGGGAAAGCUUCUCUCCUAAUGGUAAGGUGUCCAUAUUCUCUGCCCCAAGAACCAAGACAAGUGAUCUGACAAGUGUGAAGACUGCUUUUCAACAUGAAAAAGAGUUUUCUUAAACUCAAGCAUGAUAUUAGCUCUACUUUGAAUAUCAGUUACGAAAAUUCAUAACGAGCUGAGGUAUCUUCACUAACGUUGCAAGUUAAUUUCUUGUAUUCAUCACAAUGACAUUUUUGUGUAUUUGAAAAGUAAUCCAUAUGGAUGAGCAUAUUUUUCAUUCACUCUACAGACGGAACAUGCACGCUGGUUUGCAGAUCCCUUGCAGUGACUCUACAGCUCCCAGGAAUCUGAGGUUCACAAGGUGAAACCUACCAGGCCAAACAAUUUAAAAUUGGUUUUGUUUUGAAAAUCCAAAUGCUACACUUCUCUCAUCAAUGGAGCUCAAGACGUAAAAGUCUAGUUUAAGAGACAUUGAAUCUAUUCUGCCUUUUAUUAUCCCUUUCUUAUAAGUUGACUUUUAAGAAAUCAAUGACUGUGUGGAGAGUUCUAACUGGGUACGUAAUAAAAUAACCAACUGUGGGGGUGGGAAGGGGGCCCUAUCGCACCAGGAAGCUUGUUUAUUGGUUGCAUUAGACCACUAAAGUGGAAGCGCUGAGAUAUUCUGGAAAGAACACAGCUUGGGGGCGAACAGAUCUGGGUUCAGAGCCUUACUGCAUCACCUACAAGCUAUGUCUCUUUAGAAAAUUUACUUAAAAUUACUGGGAAUUUAUUUCAUCAUCUGUACAAUGGGCUACUUUUUUCUGUGAUUGUUGUAAGAACUGUAGUAACUGGUAAAUUGUGUAGCAUGGUGCUCAGUACAAGAUGUUACACUCUCGGCAGAAUCACUUCCAAGUCAAAUUGGAAAUUGACUGUUAGCCACCCAUCACUCUGGUUUGAGAAAGCUGGUGGGAUAGUUUACAUGCAUGGCAUUAGCGCCAUCUAGUGGUGUAUUACUGCCUACGCUUCCUUACGGAAUUCUGUCUUCCAGUACCUUUGAAUGGCCACUUAAUUUAUUCAUUUUAUUCAACAAGCAUUUAUUGAAUGCCUACUGUGUGCCAGACACUGAUUUGGCAGCUGAAGCUACAACAGUGAACAAGAUAGAUCAUGGUCCCUGCCUUUAGGGAGUUUGUGGUCAGGUGGGAAGAUAGAAAUAAAAUAAUUACUGAAAUAAAAUUUGAAUUCAACUUAUGAAAAGCACUAUGAAAGAGUACAGUAGCCUGUGAGUUUAUAAUAAGGCUUCCCUAGGGAAGUGACAUUAAAGAUAAGAAGCAUAGAAUCCAGCCAGGAGACCACAUCAGGCAGGUAACAGCCGCCCAGCGGCACCUCCCUGGACACAUUUACCCCAUCAGGAUCAGGAUCCUGCCAGUCUCUCAGGAGCUCCCAUCUUGAACUGAGGCCUGUUUCAUCAAUCAUCUAAUGUCUAUCACAUCCCACUCUGUGCAAGUCACUUUACAUACACCACUGCGGACUUUCUCAUGUUAUCCUUUUACAGGCGAUGUGCAAUGAGGUUAAGUAACUUGUACAAAGACAUAAAACGGCAUGUCAGAAUCAAGAUUCACACCCAGAUCUUUCUGCUCACAGCGCCCAUGCUCUUUCCUCUACUGAAGCUGUCUCCCAGAUGCCAAGCCCAGAUCUCUUUAUUCUGCAUUAUGCUGCUUGCCUUGACAGAAAGGAAACCAUUAGGAGAAGUGCUUCGGGAAAACGAAAAUGCAGAGAGAGGGCGGGAAAAUUAAAUAACAGCCCAGUGGGUUAUGUGUGAAGGGCAGAGAGGAAACUGCUGACUUGGCUAGUUAUGUUCCUGUGGUGUGAUUUUAGGAAAGUAAUCUCAAGAGAUCCCUUUCAUCAGGAAAGAGAGUAUUCCUAAUAAUGUUGCUUAUACUCGUUGUUUAAAAUGUGUUGCAGCUGCUGCUAAAUUAAAAUGAUUUGGGGGAUCAUUUGGAGAAGAGAGGUUAUCCUCUGGAAAUGUAUAGGAAGUUGCAAGGAUUAAUAACCACUAAGGAGCAGAACAUCACUGGGUCAGAAAAUAGCUGCAGGACUUAGAGGUUUUCUGCAACACAGGACUUUCAGCUUCAAAACUGGGACAUUCUCAUGGCAAACUAUGACGAUUGGUCACCUGGCAGUGAGCCAGACUGGGAGGAUCUGAUGUACCCGUGGAAGUUAGGCCGAAACACUUAUUGAAAUCUGGGGUCAAUUUGAGGCCUUGGCCACAGACCAAUGCAGAAAAGGUGGGCAAAGGGUGGUACAAUGAGUACCUUGGUACUCAGUCCCUAGAUUACCAACCUAGAGCACCUGCUGUAGGCCUUGCAUGCAGAAUUAGUUGGCCCCAGUUCUGAGGGAGGGCUCAGGCAGAGGACAAGAAUGAUCACAGAAUCAGGCCACUCUGUGCUUCAGCUUCCUUAUCUGCAAAAUGGGAUAAAUAGCAGCACUUUGUGCCUAAAACUGCAUGUGAGAUCUGUUAGUUAAUAUGUGUAAAGUGCUCAGAAUGGUGCCUGGUCCAUAUGAAUAUAGGAAGUAUCACCAUGGAAUUCUCAGGAAGAGAAACAGAUGUGUGGCCCUGGCUGGAUCAUGUCUAUGAUAGCUCAGUUUUCCAUCUGUAAAAUGAAAAUCAAAGUCCCUGCCAAAGCUUUCAGAAGAAACAGAACAAGACACAGUCAACAAGGAAAGAAGUCACAGAUAGUAGGUAGGAACUUGUGCUCUGAAAUCAAACCCCCUGGAUUACAUCCAGCUCUGCCUCUUAGAUGUUCAUUUAUUUAUCUGCCAUACCCCAGCCACCACCGCAAGACCCAAGAAACCAGGGUUGAAAUGCUAGGCACCAAAGCUGCUGCAGCCAUCAUCCAAACCCUCCACACAGACCAGUCACUGGCCCCAGUCACUGGCCCAAGGCAGGGUGGAGCAUCCAGACAAGGUGGGGAAUGGAAUUUGCCCAAUAAUGGAUGCCAAUGAUUUGAGGAAGACAGCAGCCAAGGGAGAAAUGGAAAUGCAAACCAGGUACAAACACCAAUGGGCCCGGCGCUGUCCUGAGCACUUUAUGCAUUAGUUCAUCUAGUUCUCCUGGCAGUCUUAUGAAGUAGGCACUGUUAUUCACCCCAUUUUACAGAUGAAGAGACUGGGGCGCACAGUGGCUAUAACUUGCUCAACUCACAGAGCGAGCCAGAACUUUGGGCAAGUUUGUUGACAUUUCUAGUCCCUAGUUCCUCUCAAAAGAAUGAGGGUAAUAAGUUAUGACAUCUCCUCAUAGAUUCGUUAUGCAGAUUAGAUGGGAUAGUCUAUACACAGCACUUAGCAAAGGAUCAGAAACAUUUUAAGCACUCAUACUUAAACCCAAAGUCACUCACUAGGUUAUUGGCGUGAUAAGAUACAUGGGCUAUAAUUACCAAAAAUAUAGCUGGUAAUUUAAGAAAAUGGCCAAAUGUGCAAGGUAGUAAAAGUCUAGGGUGGGGCAGGGGACAUAAAAUACCAUAGGAACUGAGGAACAGGGGGUCAGGUCUGACGAAUCUGUUUUGCAUGAGACACUUUGUAGGCCUUUGGAGAGAAAUUGUGAGGAGGACUUGAAGGAUGGACAGUUGGCCCCCAAACUCCAGGCUUUCACUCCCUGAACUAAGAGGGACCUUGAGCAAGCCCUCACCUCUGGGAAGAAGCCCUCAGCAGCCCAGAUAGGAGAGCUGAGGUGUCUGGAAAAGCCCACACCGAGGCCCAGGGCUGGGCCAGUUAUGGAAGGCCAUCAGUGCAGCCCCGUCUUGACUCCUGCUGCAGAAAGCCUGGGCAGGGCUGCAGCUCCAGCCCAUGUUCCAGAUUUCUGCCAUGACCAUCCUCCUGCGUGCCAGCUUGAAACCACUGUUUGUUGACAUGAUCUCCCUGACUUCAUCCAUUUAGAUCAUCUUUGGCUCACUGACCUCAGCCCACUCCCUUCACCUGCUCUAUUAUUUUAUUGUGACCCCUGAUUCCAGGCAAGACAUUCCAUUCACUCCAUCAGCCCCAAUCUGGGAACCUUGUCAGCAAAGAGGAUUGGCCAGGGAUGAGGAAUUGUGGUGAGGUGAAAGGAAUAUCUCUGAUAAGAGAUGUAGCAAUGCUACUCACUAAUAGCUCUAGAUUCUUGGCAAAGGCCUAGGAACUCACCCCACAUUUUUCAUCAGAGGGUGUAUUAGCUGCAUUUUGGAAACCUAUUAAGAGUUGUAAUUAGCAGCAGGGAGAGAACAAGAACUCUUCUCUAGGGCAAGUGAUAACAGCAGUAAGCAUUGAGUGGACAGUGAUCAUCCAGCCAAGCCAAGAUCCCUUUCCUCCUCUUCCACCUCUUAAAAAGAGACUGGAGCUGUGCUCUCAGGCUCAGGGAAUUCUACCUGACUGUACUGCUUUGCCUCCAAAUGGAUUCCCUCUUCUGAGCCCUUUCAGAAGGGCUCAGAACGUAGAUGGCUGCGUUGGACAGUACCUGGUUUGCAUUUCCAUUUCUCCCUUGGCUGUUGCCUUCCUCAAAUCACUGGCAUCCAUUAUCUGGCAAAUUCCAUUCCCCUCUUGUCUGGAUGCUACACCCUGCCUUGGGCCAGUGCCUAGCAGCCCCUGGCCUGUGUGGAGGGUUUGGAUGAUGGCUGCAGCAGCCUUGGUGCCUUGCAUUUCAACCCUGGUUUCUUGGGUCUUGAGGUUGUGGCUGGGAUGUGGCAGGUGGAACCCAAAAAGGAGAUUUACCUCCAAUGGUAAGGAGGGGUUUCUGUGUGAGGAAGUGAGCACCUGGGAACCCAGGCGGCCAAAGGUGAUUGAAUUGUUCUGCACAAACUGGGUUACCCCUCAGGGCUGAUGUGGCCUGGAGAGACACCCCUAAAGUCAUCAUGUGCCUCUAAGAUUUCGCUAGGAAAGUUUCCAAGAAAAGGCUAGAUUUCCAUUGGGCUUGAAAGGUGAGCCACCCACACUGGGCACUCAGGUCUGCAUUUCUGCUCCAGUGUUCCCUCAGUCCAAUUUUACACAGCAGUAACACCCUCUUCCGCUCAUGUUCUGUUGUGUUCUGCACAUCCUACAGGGGAACAUCAUGAUAAUGAAACCUUUGUGUUUUCCAUUGCUGCUACAAAAAGACCAGAUCAAACAUUUUAUGACACUUUUGUUUUUGUGUUUCUGUACGCUGCAUGUGAAAAUAUCUAUUACACAAAUCAAGCACUCUGCUUUCCAUUGCCAAGCAUCUUUGGCACAAGAGCUGUAAUAAAAAAUGUAAUGAACAUAAAACAGUUUUUAGAAUCACUCCUUUGGUAGCUGGUAUAUGAAGCUGACAGGGCCCCCUCUGCCAACGCUGCAGAAGGUCGGGCAUAUCCUUCCCUUAGCUCAUAUGGCUGCAGAGGAAGGAGGUAUCUUUCUUUGGGCUUCAUCCCCAGGCAACCCACACACUUUGAUGCUCACCUGUCUGCCUUGGGGGACUGGAGUUGAAUGACUGCUUGUUUUGCUCCUGGGAUCUGUGGGCUCCACAGUCGUCCCAGGCCUCCUUGCUUAAUCGGACUCCCACCCAUGACAUCUGAGUAGUUCCUCUUCUGGUCCUGUCACUAUCAUCUCCCUUUCUGUCUCUCAAGGCCUGUCCUUCUGUAGUACAUCUUUUUAAUAACUGGUAAGAGUUUCCUCCGAUCUUCCCUUUGGAGACCUUUUCUCUUCAGUCAAUCCCCGUGCCACCCAAUCCCAUCCCUUGUUCUCAGCGUCCUGCUCACAAUCCCUUUUACUAUGCCACUGACUUACCCAGACUGGCUAGGACAUCUCUAUUUGCAUUGCAUUGCAAUAGGGACUGAGGUGAGCCUGGCUAUGAAAUCAGCUGUGAACUUAUUUUUUGUUAACUGUGAUUUUAAAGGGCAGGGAGGAGAAAAUGAAUACUGAGGGAAGGAAAGGAGACCUAACAUUUAUUGAGUCCUUGGAGUUCUUGAGAUAGAUGCCUCAUACACAUUAACUUACGCAUCCUCACAAUGAUCUUGGGAGGUGUUAUUUACUCCAUUUUACAGAGGAGGAAAUGGAGGUUAAAUCACUUACACAGGCUGGGCACGGUGACUCACGCCUGUAAUCCCAGCACUCUGGGAAGCCAAGGCAGGAGGAUUGCUUGAGCCCAGGGGUUUGAGACCAGCCUGCCUCUACAAAAAAAUAAUAAGUUUUUAAAAAUCACUGCCCAAAGUUCCAAAGCUAGUCAACAAAGAAACCGGUUACAAAUUUGCUCUUCAUUUAGUGUAAAAAUCAAUGAAACUUUUCUGAAUGUUUCAGUCUUUAAAAAAAAAAACAUGAAGCAUGCCAUCCAAUGAGCUGUGUGACCUGGGGCAAGUCAGUGGACCUCUCUGGGCUAUAGUUUGAACAUCUUUAAUGUCAGGAGCCUGUCCUAGAAGGUCCUAACUCCUACAAGCUUUUAACCCAGGCUGUAAUUGCCCUUGUUCUCAAAAAGGACUUCUUCACAUCCAGUCCAAAUCUUUAAAGAACCCAAGUCAUGCUAACAAGAAAUAAAUGACGAACACUCUGGGAGCGCUAAUCAGGAGCACUUCAGGAAUUCCCUUCCUUUUUCCUGCCAGGCAGCAGUUUCACAGCCAUUCUCCAGCUCUCCUAAAUCAGGAUCUGUGGGUGGACAGGAGGAUGAGAAACACAGUGCUAAAGGGGCCUGGGUUUCUAUGUCACCACCCCUGCCUACCCUCUGCCGCAGCCACUGUAGCCAGCGUGCCUCCACCUGGCUGUCUUUCCCUACACAGCCCGCAUGCCCCCCAUAGCUGGCUGCACUAUGGGAAGGACUGAUCCCCACCAGACAAGCUGGACUUUCCUGGCCUCCCUUGCACCCUGGGAGAUCCUUGUCCAUGUGGGGGAAAUAAGAUUAUAUUUAUUAAAAACCAUAUAAUUUAUAGCCUCCAUGUGCACACCUUGAAAUUCCUGGGGCCAUAAACUGGAAGGGCAUUUCUUUAAUCCCUGUAAUUUACAGUUUUUACUCACCUGGCUUAGGUGGGGGGAAGAAUCACACACAUACAUACCUGUUCACACAUACACACAUAUGUAUAUGCACGUGUGUAUACUGACUCUCUCCUUGGGAUUUGCUAAGCCUCUCACAUGAAGCCUCAAUAGCCCUAGGGAACUGUGCUCAGGUCUCUGAUUCCACUGGAGCUUGCCAGCAUUCCAGGGCCAAGUCAAGACUUUUGUAAAUUGCUGAGAACUGAAUUCUGACCUGGGAGCAAAGAGUGGACAAAGAAUGGCACAGAGAUGCCAAGGAAGCUGAAUUCAGGAGGGAAAGUGAAGCCUGCCCCACUCACCAUGCUUGUCCUCUUCUCCCCAGCCUCCCAAACCCCAGCCUCUACACACACACCCGAAAAGAGGAUUCAGCAACUGAAUAUGAGAGGGACAGACCUGGUGGAAGGCUUUGGUACCUGUGAAACUGUGCCCAGUUAUUGAUCUAGAGAUUGACCACCAGGGGCAGUGUUAUCGUUUAAGACGAGUUUCCUUUGGCACUCACCAUAUCUUACAGCUUCUCCUAUUUGUUCUUGUCCCAAUCCUCUUCCGGCCCCCAUCCAAGAAGCUCUGUGCAAUUCAGCUAAAUUUGUAGGACACUACUCCAGUUAGCACUGUGCUUAGGAAUACAAAGUCCUUCUGGUACCAGGUCUGUUGCAAGCUCUUGCACUUCUCAAGGUCACAGACUUGACAAGAACACUUGACUAUGUUCUUGCUCCAACUUAUAGAAACUGGAAUGAUGCAAGAAAGAUGAUGACAAGCUCAUGCUCAAAUAAAAUGCCUGGGUCUUUCAUCAAAACAGUGGCCAAGAAGCACGUAUUUGUACAUUUUAAGUUAAAAUAAGAUGUUGAAGGCUGGUGUGUUUCAUUGUUAACUGGUCAACAGUCCCAAUUGCUUUUUUUUUUUUUUUUUUUUUUUUUAGAUGGAGUUUUGCUCUUGUCACCCAGGCUGGAGUGCAGUGGUGCGAUCUCAGCUCACUGCAACCUCCGCCUCCUGGGUUCAAGCAAUUCUCCUGCCUCAGCCUCCCGAGUAGCUGGGAUUAUCGGCAUGCACCACCAUGCCCGGCUAAUUUUUGUAUUUUUAGUAGAGACCAGGUUUCACCAUGUUGGCCAGGCUAGUCUCAAACUCCUGACCUCAGGUGAUCCACCCACCUUCGGCCUCCCAAAGUGUUGGGAUUGCAGGUGUGAGCCACUGCGCCCGGCCCCAGUUGCAUUCAGUGAGAGCAUGUGUGAUGAUACCUUAACUCCUAUUUUUAUUAACAUCUAGUUUGUAAAGGACUACAGAGACACUGUGCUGAGCACCCUGGAAGGGUGGGGCUUGAGCCAGGCUGAUGGACACGUGGGAGGACCAGGCUGGGGAAGGACUUGGGGCAUGAACUUCUGUCUGGAUAUAGCACCAAGUGGGACAGGGUCGGGGGUCAGGGAGAUUGGAUUGGCCAGAGCACAGGAACUUGCAAAGAAAUACACAACAGGACAUAGGUAGGAUAGAGAAGAGGCAAAAAUAUGUAAGUAGGCACCAGUUAGUGUAGCACAUGAUUUCAUAUCCUGUAUAUACUUUAAUUUAAUCAUAGCAACCGUGUGAGAAGAGUACUAUAUCUUGACUUUCAGUUGAGGAUUAGGCCCCAAAAAGGCUGCUGAUACAACAGUACUUAAUUUCAGGUGGGGCUAGGGACAGUGGUUCCCCAGCCUCUGACAGGGUUCGUCAAAGAUUAUUUAUUUGCUUAAUCUGAGCUACUUAGUGGUAAAGCCUAGAUUCCAUCCACCUUUUGUCUCCAGGCCUAGUGAAUGCUCUUUUCAUUUUACCUCACCUACCUAGUUACUACCAUAUUAACUUGCUAAAAAUAUUCUAUGAAAUGGAUUCUAUCUGCAAAUAAAUGUAAAUAAUAUAUGUGUCUUGCUGAAGAAGAAUAAAAUAAGCACUUGCGGCCCCACCACUCAAUUUAAGGCAUAGAAUAUUACCACCGCUAUCGAAGGUAGCAUGAAGGUCACCCUUCAGAGGCGACCAUGAUGCUGAAAUGUCUGCUGAUGACUCCUUUACCCUUUACAAUGUUGCCACAUACAUCUGCUGAAUAAUUUCCAUUUGCCCCUGCAGCUCCGUCUCCAGGCUUCUCCAUACUGCCGUGUGUCCCAUGAGGCUGGCCCAUCUGGACUGCACCAGGGAGCUCCCUUGAUCCUUGGCUUCCUGGUGGGUUUGGCCAAAGUGAAACACUGACAGGAAAGCAGAGGAUGAGAAUGAGGCCAGGGUGUCUGCUCCCCUGCUCCCUCUCUGCUGGGGCACCCACCAUGAAUCGGUGGCAUUCAUCUACCAAGGUCACUCUUGGUUCUGGCAGGUAGCCCUCUCCACCCUGCAGCCCUUUCCCUGCCCUCCCCAGCUCCUUCAGGUCUAGUGAUGGUAAAGCUUCCUGGCUGCUCUGCCAGCCCGAGGGUGCUGAACCAUCCCCUGGUGGUUUCCCAAACCUAGUGUUUCUUAAUCAUUUUUAAAAAUCAUGACUCCCCUAAAUACCCUUUUCAGACUUUUUCCCCCAAUCAUCUCCCUGCCAUUAAAUUUUAAUACCACACAUAUACCGUUGAUCUGUUGAUGUACUGUAGAUAUCUUUGUGUUUUACAUAGACAAGAAUACUAUAUUUUGCUCACUAAGAAGCAAUUUCACCCCUUAAGGGCGAUACUGACCUUAUUAGGAAUGUAUACCCUAACCCAACUUAUAUUUUGUAGUUCCCUGUAAUACAUUCUCUUUAGUCACCCAUUUCCAGUGUGCUAUCUCUUUCUUGCCAAGACACUAACAUAUAUAACAAUAUGUUAUGCAACAUAUUGUUAUAGUAUAUGUAUUAGUUAAACAUAUAGUGAAUAAUAUAACAAUAUACCGUGUCCAUAAACAAUAUUUUAGUUCUGUCAGGUUUUUAUCUUUAAGUGAAGGAACACAGUAUAUUUUUCUUUCUCUUGGCCUUUGUCAAUAUUUGUGAGAUUCACCCAUAUUGAAGCGUGUAGUUAUUGUUCAUUUUUACUGCCAUAUGGUAUUGCAUUGGAUGAACAUAUACAAAUUUACAAGUUUGUUUAGUGGUGGGGAUGGAUAUUUGGGUUGGUUAUUUUGAACACAUGGCACAAAACGUUCUUGUACGUAUCUUUUGGUAAAGACAUAGAUAUACAUAUACAUAAUAUACACAUACAUAUACAGAGUCUCUAGGGUACAAACCUGGGAGUAAAAUUGCUGUAUUGUAGGGUAUGCCUAUUUUUCUCCUUACUAGAAAAUGCCAAAUUGUUUUCCUGUAAUGAUACCAACUUAUUUUCAUACCAAUAGGAUUUGAGAGUUCUGGUUGCUCCACAUUCUUUCCAGCAUUUGUCAUUGCUGGACUUUUUAAAUUUUUGCCUGUCUGGUAGGUAUGGAAAAGGUAUUUCAUUGUAGAUUUGAUUUUCGUUUUGCUUAUUACUGAUAGGUUGAGCAUCUUUCCACUUCUUCACUGCCCAUUUGGUUUUCUUUUCUGUGAAUGCCAGUUUGUGUCUUUUGUCCACUUUCCUAUUGCAGUGUUUCAUUUUUUCUUAUUGAUUCAUUGGUUUCCUUCAUAUAUUCUAGAUGUUAACCCUUUGCCAGUUACAUAAACUGCAAACAAUUUUUCCCAGACUGUGGCAUGUCUUUUCACUAUUUUAAAAAUGAAUUGUGAUGAAUAUACAUUUAAAAUUUUAUUGGACAAAAUGUAUUAACCAUUUCCUUUCUGGUUUGUGUCUUUUGUGACUUAUCAGAGACAUUCUUUCCUAUGCUGAAUUCCUAAAGUUUUUCUGUAGUUUCUUUUAAAAGAUAUUUAAAAUUGUGCCUUUUACAUUUAAGUUUCAUUUUUUUGUAUAUGGCAGGGAUUCAUUUUUUUCAUAUUCAUGGAAACCAAGUUUCCAGUGUCAUUCAUUGAAUAGACUAUCAGCCCCGUUGCCCAUCUUUCUUUCUUUCUUUCUUUCUUUUUCUUUCUUUCUUUUUCUUUCUUUCUUUCUUUCCUUCCCUCCUUCCUUCCUUCCUUCUUUCUUUCUCUCUCUCUCUUUCUUUCUUUCUCUCUCUCUCUCUCUUUCUUUCUUUCUUUCUCUUUCUUUCUUUCUUUUUUUAACAGAGUCUCACUCUGUUGCCCAGGCUGGAGUGCAGUGGCAUGAACAUGGCUCACUGCAGCCUCAACCUCCCCAGCCUCAGGCAAUCCUCCCACCUCAGCCUCCCAAGAAGCUGGAACUACUGGCACCCACCACCACACCUAGCUAAUUUUUGUAUUUUUUGUAGAGACCGGGUUUCACCAUGUUGCCCAGGCUGGUCUUGAACUCCUGGGCUCAAGCGAUCCACCCCCACCUCAGCCUCACAAAGUGCUGGGAUUACAGGUGUGAGCCACCACGCCCAGCCCCGCUUGCCCAUCUUUACUGCCUCCUCUGCCACGUGUUUAUAAAUAUGUGGGUCUGUUUCUAGGCUCUCCUAUUCCACUGGUGUAUUUUUAUGUCCCUGCACCAACAACACAGUUCCCAUUUCUUUUUUUUUUUUUCUUUUUUGUUUUUGAGAUGGAGUCUCGCUCUGUCACCCAGGCUGGAGUGCAGUGGCAUGAUCUCGGCUCACUGCAACCUCUGCCUCCUGUGUGCAAGCAAUUCUCCUGCCUCAGCCCCCUGAGUAGCUGGGACCACCGGCACGUGCCACCACGCCCAGCUAAUUUUUUGUAUUUUUAGUAGAGGCGGGGUUUCACCGUGUUUGCCAGGAUGGUCUUGAUCUCCUGACCUCAUGAUCUGCCUGUCUCCACCUCCUAAAGUGCUGGGAUUACAGUCAUGAGCCACCGUUCCCAGCCCACAGUUCCCAUUUCUAUAGCUUAGAAAUAAGUCUUGAUAUCUGUCAGGAUAAGUCCUUUUUUCUUCUUUAGAAGUAUCUUGUCUAUUCUUUGCUGUUGACUCUUCCCUGUGAAAUUUUUUAAAUGAUUUAUCAGGUUCCAAAAAGAGCCUGAGCAGGCAGUGUCAUGGGUAAACAGCAAGGGCAGGGAUGAGCAUCUACGUGCAGAUCAAUAAUGCCGGUGCAGCAAUGCUGGGGCAGAGUAGGGGCCAGACCAUGCAAAGCAGUGUCAGAGACCACAGCACGUCUGCAGUCCAGGGCAAGGCCACCCCAUGUAGGUAGGCUCAGCCAAUGUCAAAACAUGAUGGGUGGCAGUCUCUGCUUACUAUUAUCCUAGUGGCCGAAGGACAUCACAAAGGUACUAAACCUUUAUCAUAAGCCUCCUUUGGGAGGUUUAUUAAGGAAAUGGAAUUAUUUAUUCUGAAAGAGGAAAAAAGCUAGGAAGGACUUAAUUGUUAAAUAUUACUCUAGGCUAAGAAGAUAAGUGAAAAUGGAAAAGAGGCCAGAGUUGGGAAUUCAGACUCACAGGGAUCAAUUAGUAUCACAAAGAGACAAACCUAGCUGAAUCCAUAGCUCCAGCCUGCUUUUUCCCAAAGGGAAUUUAGGUGGUUUCAGUACAAAUCCAUGUUCAUUACUGGGGUUUAUUUUAGUUGUUUGGUUUUGUUGUUCAUUUAAGAUAACACUUAUUGAGCUUUUACUAUGGGCUGGGCUUUCUUCUAAGCAUUUAAUAUGUAUUAACUUAUUUCCAUGCCCCCUGCCAACCCAAAUCAACUCAGAGUAUGUAUCCAACAGAUGAUUGAUCGGUUGGCAUAUUUCCGAUAGGAAUACAUCACUGAGGAAAGGUGAAGAAUUCCAUUUAUGUGUAGACCUUUGACAACCACUCCUCAAACUGGGCUUUUGAACAUUUUCCUUGCGGAUCUUGUUUAUUUGGCCUGAAUGGAAAAAUGUAAAGCUAGGAGUCAGGUUAUAUCAUUUAAAAACAAAAACCAGACAGGAUCAUGGUGACCAUAUCUUCUCCGAGGGGAGGCAGGCAGAAGGAAGGGGAUGAGCAGGAAGAUGAAUAUUCUACAACAGACUGGGAGGAGUAGCCAUUCUAUCCUCCACAGAGGUUUCUUGAACAAGGAAGACUUGGCCCCUUGCUGCGGGCCAGGAAGUCCAUGGUAUCAGAUGCCAAGCAUUGGCAUCAAGGAAUUCCCAACAAGAAGGCAGCCGCCUCAAAUCCUUUGUGGAGCAAGGCAGGUUAUAAAUAGAUCUAUAAAUUUUUUUAACCAGAAGGCAACAGGCUUAGCACAGCUAUUCUUCCCUUUCGGUUCUCCUCCCUGCAUCGCUUUGCCUAUUAAAUCCCUGCUACCAGGCAGAGCCAUCUGCGUGUCAGCCAAUCCGCUGCCGCAGCCUCAGGAGAGCCAGGAUGGAAACUGGCUUCUAUUACGACUUCAGGUUGUGACCUUGCUUGUGGAAAGAAGUAAAUCUUCCUAUCUUACCUCUGGCUAAUUGGGCAGGAGGUAGAAGAGACAAGAAUUUAUUGUACACUUUGCCUCCUGCUGGCUAGAACGCUAAUGUAGCCCUUGCAGAGGCAGGCUCUGGUUUCAGGGACAGGCUGAGGAGAGAGAAGCUGUGGGCUGGGUCUCUGGUACAUGCAGCCAAGACCUGCUCAUGGGGCUUUUAACUGCAAGAUUUUAGAAGAUGGGUUGUCUUACUGGCCAAGUUAUAUGUGGCUUGGGGUGUGUGUGUGUGUGUGUGUGUGUGUGUGUGAAAAGAGAGAGAGAGAAGACUUAGAGAAACGGAGAGAUUGAUUUCAUCUCUCCUAACA